CUUUUACCCAAUAUUCUUCCAUAAAAUUUUUCCUUGCAAAGUAAAAUAGCCAUCAUUAUUAUAACUAAUUAAUAUUGGAUAAAUGGAUACUCGUCUCUUCUAAACAGGAUAGUGCCACAUUAAUUUACAAUUACUAUCAAUCAAAUAUAUCUUCAACACCUUAAUCCACAUUAAUUUAAAUUCUACAUAACGUUAAAUAUUACAAAGAACAAGUACUAUGACAGCUCCUAAGCUGCUAUUUGUCUAUCCAUCUUCAGCAGCAUAAUGACCUAAUUUUAUGCAUUCUUGUGCCUGCUCAAACUCCACAGUGAUGAUCUCCAACAAAUUUACCUUAAAGUUGAUCCAUGACAUUCUUAGUUCAAAGUUGCUGUCAAAUUCCUAUCGAGUAUUGACGAACAAAGCAUUAUGAAAAUGAAGAUUCGGUCAAAAACACUCCAAGCGCUAUUUCUCCAUACUUGAAUUCAAUUGCACAUAUAUGCUACAUGGCAGAAGUUCUGAAGGACAGGAAAAUAUUCAUUGUUAUGUUAAACAAUAUCCUUCAAAUAUAACAAGUAUUACGCUGUCAUUACAUUCUGUCUUCGAGCCUAGAUCCUACCUUAGCACUUAGCAACACAACAUAAUGCAUAAUGCAACAGUAUCGUCACUGCAUCAAGAGACAUACUCCAACAGGAUAUCUAAUCAUAACAGUUAACAUAAUUCAUGAAGAACAAUAAGUGAUGGCAAGAAAGCCAUGGAAGUUGUGGACAAAUAUUCAAAGACAAUACUGGUAUGAAAUGAGAGAUGAUUUUCUCAAAAAAGAUGAACUUUUAAGGCAGGAGAAAAUAUUAUUUGUAGAACCUUCAGAAGCUGUAAAUUAUACAAAAAACUUUACCAGCUCUGGGAAUAACUAAAGUGUCACCUGCAGGAAGAAUAACCUUCUGCCUUGAAUAGAUACAAAGAUCUGGUUUUUCUUAAAUGCAAUAGUGGGGACAAAGUUUUAUUGAGCACGAAGAACUUGAGAGAACCAGAGAGAACUUGGAUAAUGAAAUGACAGGAAAACAUGAAAAAAAGUGAUAGGAAACCAAGCUUGGAAUGCAGGGAUAACAAAAAGCUCAUGAAUAGGAAAUAAGACGGUUCUCUCCUACUGAACUAAUCAAAUUGUUAUUUUUUGCUGUCUUGAUAGUAAUCAAGUUUCCCUGGUUCUUCAGAAGGGAAACCAUCAAAUUCAUGUUGUAUUUUGCAUAUAAAAAGGCCUGAAAGAAAUAUUCACCUCUUUCUCAAGUAAUUAUAUUUUAACUCGUUUAAAUUUCCAUUAGCACCAGUAGUUUGAUAAGAUACCUUAAACUAUAGAAAAUAAAGCUGACGUAAACCUCAAAGGGUCCACUUCAAAUAAUGUACAGUCAACUAGAAACUCUUGAGUUAUCAUUCCAGUGGAAAUAGACUUUCAUUUGCAUGCAGAAAUCCAUCCGUCACCAAGCAGAAUUCUCAAAUAAUUUCCCCCAAUAAGAAAUCAUAUGCAGACACUGAUACAGAGACAAUCAAUGCAAUUAAUGAAAGCUUCAUGAUAAUAAUGCCAUAUUAGUCUCUGGAAUUGCACAUUUACUUGCCAGUCAACAAGAAUGCCAUAAUGAACGUGUCAGUCUAUUCAUCAUCAAGCAGAACGGAAUCUUCAGACCACCUCCCCAUCCAAAAAAAAGGAUAUGCACCCACAUAGAGGAAAACAAAUUAGCUAUUAAUGCAAGCUAAUGUGCUAAAUUAUUGUAUGAAAUGUCAAUACCUUGUUUUAAUCCUGCAACAGCGCAUAAAAAGUUGUGGUCUCGAUUGUGGUGUGUGCUCGAUCUAGCUUGACCAUUGUUCAUCCACAAAUAGAUAGAAGCCGGUGCUUUACGCUUCAAAGAUGCAGGCUGCACAAGUAAACAAAUUAAUUUAAGAGCUAAGCUACAAAGUAAAACAAAAUAUGCAUAGUUGUCAAUGCUGAGCCGAAGAAUAUAUGAGGAAAGAAAAUUAGCUAAGAAUAAUCUUAAA
rnacentral:lncRNA from 1 species